UUGGUACUCCCUCCGUCCCAAAAAUUUUGUUUUAGAUUUGUCCAAAUAAGGAAUAAGGAUGUAUCAAGUCACGUUUUAGUAUUAGAUACAUCUGUAUCUAGACAAAUCUAAGACAAGAAUUUUGGGACGGAGGGAGUAUAUG
rfam:Triticum aestivum genome assembly, contig: Triticum_aestivum_CS42_TGACv1_scaffold_224395_3B